CUCUCUUGGGAUGCUCACCCAGGGGCAUCUAUGGCUGAGUAACAAAUCACCCCAGAUUGAUCCACUUAAAAUAGUGCCCGUUAAGAAUCUCACAGUUCUGGAGGUCAAAAGUAGGGGUGGGCUCAGCUGGGUUCUCUGCUUAGGACCUCGCAAGGCUGAAAGCAAGGUCUUGGCUGGGCUGGGCUCUUAUCUGGGGCUUGGGAUCCUCUUUCGGGCUCACUCGGUUCUUGGCAGGAUCCAGUUUCUUGCGUUCGUAGGACCGAGGUCCCCAUGUUCUUGCUGGCUCUCGGCUGGGGGUCACUCUUGGCCCCUGGGGCUGCUCCUGGGUCCUUUCCACAUAACCCCCUCCAACUUUAAACCAGCAAUGCCACAUCAUCCUUUUCAUGCUUCAAAUCUGACUUCUACCAGCCAGCGAAAACUCUCUGCUUUUCAAGGGCUUAUGUGAGUAGAUGAAGCACCACCCCCCCAUCACCUCUUUGAUGAUCUCAAAAUCAACUCAUCUGCAAAUCUAAUUACAUCUGCAAAUCCCUUUUGGCAUAUCACAUAUUGUCACACGUGUUGAAUCUCAUCACCUUCACGGUCCCAGGGAUUAGGGUGGAAAUUGGUGGGGGCGGGGAGGGGGCUUAGAAUUCUACCUCCCACAAGCCAAGACCGCAUGUUGUGAGCAAGUCCAAGCCAUGCAGUGAAGCCCCCUGGAGGUGUCCAGCUAUAUAUAGCCCCCCAAAGGUCUCAGCCAGCAGCCCGCAUCAACCGUCAAAGUUGUGAGUGGAUGCGCCUCCAGACGGCCUCAAACCACCCCAGCCAGUGCACAUCAUGCAGCAGACACAGGCCAUCCCCAAACUCCUACUCCUGAGUUGUUUUAUGCCGGUUGGUGUUGGAGUGAUUUGUGCCUGGAAUAUCUUCCUUUCUUCCCCACUGCUCUCCAGCUCCCCUUCCUUCCCUCUUUUGCUCUCCUGGUCCUUCCAGCAUUAUGUAUUCAACCCCCCUUAUUGAACCCCUGUUGAAAUACCUAGGUUGCUUUUCUUUUCCUGGCUGACCCCUGCUCAUCUAUCCCCCGAUUCUUCUUUGCUAACGGAACCCUAGUUUGUGCAGAAUCUGGGGGCAGCCAUGUACCUAAUGAGGGGGCUGGGGGCCCUGUCAACCUCAGAGACUGAAUCUUGAUUAGACAAAGGCAACUGGGAUUGCCAUCACCUUGACAGGGAUUGGCUGGCUCCGUUCUGGACAACGGACACGGGGAAAGUCUGCCAGGGGACGGGGUUUCUGGGAAGACAAGAACGGAGGCCACCUCUUCCAGCUUUGGAUAUGGUUGCAUGAGGGCAUGAUGCUGCAGCUACAGCCAUCAUCGUGCGGACACCCACAUACUGAGGGCGGCAGGGCAGCAGGAUGGGUCUUCAGUGGCUCCUCUGACCUGUGGAAUGAAUGACCCCUGGGUACCCCUACCUCCAUUCUCUCUGUUCAGUUGUGUAUUAGGUAUUCCUUAGUGCUCCUUCCUCGGGGCCUCCGCCCCUACAGCUCCCUCUGCCUGGGGUGCCCCCAUCCACACCCCACACAUCCGCAUGGCCCUCUGCUCAGAUGUCGCCUUCCUGAGACCUCUCAAAAAACAAACAAACAAACAAACAAAACCACACCCCUUCUACAGCCCUCCCAUUUCUCUUCCCUGCACUGUGUUUAUUAUCUGUCUCUGCCACUGAAACAUAAACCCUCCUGAGAGCAGAGAGCUUUCCUUACUAUGCACCCUCAGUGUCUAGAACUGGGCUUGAUGUGUAUCGCCUGUGAUCAGUAAAUAUUUGUCCAAUUCAUGCCAUGCGAAUGUUUUGAGUUCUUUUCGUUGGACUUUGUAUUACGUUCAGCCAAAAGCAAAUGGUUCCUGCCCGCCCCUCCCCCGCAUCUUCACCUCACAGCUGAAUCCUUUGGGUCCAAUGCUUGCUCUAAAAUGACACUCACGGGGCACCUGGGGGGGCUCAGUCAGUUAAGCCUCCCACUUCUGCUCAGGUCAUGACCUUGCAGUUCACAAGUUCAAGCCCCGAGUUGGACUCUGGGCUGACAGCCCAGAGCCUGGAGCCUGCUUUGGAUUCUGUGUCUCCUUCUCUCUCUGCUCCUCCUCUACUCACACUCUCUCUCUCAAAAAGAAAGAAACAUUAAAAAAGAAAGAAAUGCAGAUUCUCAGGUCCUACUCCAGAUUACAUUUAGAUAAG
rnacentral:lncRNA from 1 species